rnacentral:piRNA from 2 species
UGACACACCUGUGCAGAGUGAUGGUCUCACC